UACGUAGGGGGCUAGCGUUGUCCGGAUUUAUUGGGCGUAAAGAGCGUGUAGGCGGCCAGGUAGGUCUGCUGUGAAAACUCGAGGCUCAACCUCGAGACGUCGGCGGAAACCAUCUGGCUAGAGUCCGGAAGAGGAGACUGGAAUUCCUGGUGUAGCGGUGAAAUGCGCAGAUAUCAGGAGGAACACCGAUGGCGAAGGCAGGUCUCUGGGCAUUAACUGACGCUGAGGAGCGAAAGCAUGGGGAGCGAACAGG
rnacentral:rRNA from 1 species